rnacentral:rRNA from 1 species
AGAGUUUGAUCAUGGCUCAGAUUGAACGCUGGCGGAAUGCUUUACACAUGCAAGUCGAGCGGCAGCGCGGUCUUCGGACUGGCGGCGAGCGGCGAACGGGUGAGUAAUACAUCGGAACAUGCCCAGUCGUGGGGGAUAACACUUCGAAAGAAGUGCUAAUACCGCAUACGUCCUGAGGGAGAAAGCGGGGGAUCGCAAGACCUCGCGCGAUUGGAGUGGCCGAUGUCAGAUUAGCUAGUUGGUGGGGUAAAGGCCUACCAAGGCAACGAUCUGUAGCUGGUCUGAGAGGAUGAUCAGCCACACUGGGACUGAGACACGGCCCAGACUCCUACGGGAGGCAGCAGUGGGGAAUUUUGGACAAUGGGGGCAACCCUGAUCCAGCCAUUCCGCGUGAGUGAAGAAGGCCUUCGGGUUGUAAAGCUCUUUCGGCAGGAACGAAACGGCGAGCUCUAACAUAGCUCGCUAAUGACGGUACCUGAAGAAGAAGCACCGGCUAACUACGUGCCAGCAGCCGCGGUAAUACGUAGGGUGCGAGCGUUAAUCGGAAUUACUGGGCGUAAAGCGUGCGCAGGCGGUUGUGUAAGACAGGUGUGAAAUCCCCGGGCUUAACCUGGGAACUGCGCUUGUGACUGCACGGCUAGAGUAUGG